AGUAACACGUGGAUAAUCUACCCGACAGUCAGGGAUAACAUUUCGAAAGGAAUGCUAAUACCUGAUAAGCCUACGCCCUCCUCGGAGGAAGUAGGAAAAGGUGGGGACCUUCGGGCCUGCCGUUGUUGGAUGAGUCCGCGGCCCAUUAGCUAGUUGGUAGGGUAAUGGCCUACCAAGGCUACGAUGGGUAGCUGGUCUGAGAGGAUAAUCAGCCACACUGGAACUGAGACACGGUCCAG
rnacentral:rRNA from 1 species